CCUACGGGAGGCAGCAGUGGGGAAUCUUCCGCAAUGGGCGAAAGCCUGACGGAGCCACGCCGCGUGAUCGAAUGCAGGCCUUCGGGUUGUAAAGAUCUGUUGACAGGGACGAAUAAGCUCUGCACAUAGUUUCGUGUAUGACGGUACCUGUUUAGAAAGCUCCGGCUAACUACGUGCCAGCAGCCGUGGGAAUACGGAGGGAGCAAGCGUUGUCCGGAAUUACUUGGCGUAAAGGGCGCGUAGGUGGGCGCUUAAGUCAGGUGUGAAAACUCCGGGGUCAACCUCGGGACUGCACUUGAAACUGGCUGUCUUGGGGGCAGGAGAGGAAAGUGGAAUGCCUAGUGUAGCGGUGAAAUGCGUAGAUAUUAGGAGGAACACCAGUGGCGAAGGCGACUUUCUGGACCGUACCUGACGCUGAGGCGCGAAAGCGUGGGUAGCGAACGGGAUUAGAUACCCCUGUAGUA
rnacentral:rRNA from 1 species